AGUGUCUCUCAAUGUGUUUUAUUGAGUGAUUGCAUUAAGAAUGAGUAAAACGUUAUUAAUCCUCUUGUCCUUUGUGACUAUCUGUGAAGUUCUUGGAGUUGAACCCAGUCCGAGUGACGUAGUCGAGGAGCCUUUUACAUCGUCCUUAGAAUCUCCUGAGUUAUUGCCUUCAAAUGAAGCGUCUUCAAGUGAGGAGGAGGAAGAAUUAAUGCCCGAAUUUCAUUUGUUAGUGGAUAAAAAUUACUACAAAUACACAAUUGUGGAAGAAGACAGCAGUCAGGAUGUCGAAGGAAGUGGACAAAGUGCAGAAGGUGCAGAAGAAAGUGCACAAAGAGCUUCUGCUGGGAGUAAAGAAAACAGCACAGAAGUUAAACCAAAAUGAAGAAUAUUAUUCUUCUUGAAAAUUACUAAAUUUUUGUAAAAAUUUCGUGAUCUUAGAAUAAAAAAAAUCUUUUAAUUUAACCAUAAAACCAGUUUUAUUUGAUUUUAAAAUAAAUAUUGCAGAGAAUAAAUAAAA